CCCUACUGGGUUCUGGAUUCUGGGGCCAAAGAGUGCGACUCGCUGCUGCCCCCAGAGGCUGAGAGUAGGAACAGCCAAUCUCAGUGGUAGAGGAUGCAGAACUGGGUGAACUCCCCAGCUCUGAUCCUUCCUGUCGAGAAAGUCAUCUUCCCCUAUGAAUCUCAUGUUCCUCGGUCAAGAAAUGAGUGCAGUAACACCCCUGCCUGGUUGCUGACGAGCUAUCUUUCAGCAAUUGAAGACUGAUUUCAUGUUGCCCCAGGAAUCCAAUACUGCUGAGGAGGCCCAGGAGAUGACUGAGGAUACUAAGAACUUGUUGGAAGAAUUCAUUUCUGGAAUUUUAAAAGUAGCGAACAGGCUUAUAGGGGUGAAUGUCAGUAACCUUCAUAUCCUGGAUAUCACAUUAGAAGUGACUUCUGAAAACACCACCGAAGUGAUCAUCCCCAUCAUUGCUGAAGUCAAUGUGAAACCGUACAUUGGACUGCUCAACAGGGUUGUGGACUUGCAAUCAGUCUCGUGAAUGAGGUGUUGUCCCAGGUAGCACACUAUGAGGAUCAACUGGUUUGACGGGUUAUUUUCUUUGAAGUCUCUGUGGAUGGCUCUGGACCCAGGGCUUGUUUCUCUGAAGAGCCUUCCCUCCCAUCACCACCAUAUAAGGGCCAUCAUCACCAAGCAGAAUUCCAAGAGACUGUUCAGAAGAGCAAGGUUUCU
ensembl:lncRNA